UACGUAGGGUGCAAGCGUUGUCCGGAAUUAUUGGGCGUAAGGAGCUCGUAGGCGGUCUGUCACGUCGGCUGUGAAAACCCGAGGCUCAACCUCGGGCCUGCAGUCGAUACGGGCAAACUAGAGUACUGCAGGGGAGACUGGAAUUCCUGGUGUAGCGGUGAAAUGUGCAGAUAUCAGGAGGAACACCGGUGGCGAAGGCGGGUCUCUGGGCAGUAACUGACGCUGAGGAGCGAAAGCGUGGGGAGCGAACAGG
rnacentral:rRNA from 1 species